UAAAAAUAAAACCAAAAAGCAUAUAACAUUCAUUAAACAAACUCUAUCCAUCCGGCCGGCAAACCCUACUUCUUCCUGAGUAUGAAGGGAAACACAACCGUCAAAGGCAUUCAUUCUCUCACAUGCUUAAUUUGGCCAACUUGGCUGAAGAGGUUCAAAUCGCAUCUCUGAUCAAGAAGUUGAAGAAAGGUGGUUUCAGAGACACUGAAAAGACUUGUUGGGGAGCUAAAGAAGACCCCUGAGGUAACCAAACUGUAGAUCUGGUUUUUACAGCUCACCCAACUCAAUCGAUCCCCUUCUGCUGCGGAAACAUGGAAGGUUAUCCACCUCGAGUUACACCCGAGGUCACAAGGGUGUGACGUCUGUUUACUGGCAAGAAUGAUGGCUGCAAACUUGUACUAUGCACAGAUUGAAGAUCUGAUGUUUGAGGUUUGAAUAAAGACUUCUGUUCCUUAAAAAAAUCUUUACUGUCUUCAUUCGACCAUUUCAAAGAUGAAAAAUCUUUACUGUCUUCAUUCGAACAUUUCAAAGAUGUUCUAAAUGAUUCAUUAUAAAUUCUUGUUUGUCAGUUGUCCAUGUGGGCGGUGUAUAUUAUGUUUGUAUUAUUGAAUUUUAUGUUUGUA